rnacentral:rRNA from 2 species
CAAAGUUAAUAAGGGCGCACGGUGGAUGCCUUGGCAUUAAGAGCCGAUGAAGGACGUGACUAACGACGAUAUUCUAGGGGGAGCAGUAAGUACGCAUUGAUCCCUAGGUCUCCGAAUGGGGAAACCCACUAUGUUAUGCAUAGUAUCCGUAAGUGAAUACAUAGCUUACGCGAAGGUAACGCAGAGAACUGAAACAUCUAAGUACCUGCAGGAAGAGAAAGUAAAAACGAUUUCCUAAGUAGCGGCGAGCGAACGGGAAACAGGCCAAACCAAGAAGCUUGCUUCUUGGGGUUGUAGGACUGCAACGUGGACUUAAAGUCUAUAGAAGAAUUACCUGGGAAGGUAAGCCAAAGAGAGUAAUAGCCUCGUAUUUGAAAUAGACUUUAUACCUAGCAGUAUCCUGAGUAGGGCUGGACACGCGAAAUCCAGUUUGAAUCCGGGAGGACCAUCUCCCAAGCCUAAAUACUCCUUAAUGACCGAUAGUGAACCAGUACCGUGAGGGAAAGGUGAAAAGAACCCCGGGAGGGGAGUGAAAUAGCACCUGAAACCGUGUGCCUACAAGAAGUUCGAGCCCGUCAAUGGGUGAGAGCGUGCCUUUUGUAGAAUGAACCGGCGAGUUACGUUAUGAUGCGAGGUUAAGCUGAAGAGGCGGAGCCGUAGCGAAAGCGAGUCUGAAUAGGGCGCUUUAGUAUCAUGAUGUAGACCCGAAACCUAGUGACCUAUCCAUGAGCAGGUUGAAGGUGCGGUAAGACGCACUGGAGGACCGAACCAGGACACGUUGAAAAGUGUUUGGAUGACUUGUGGAUAGCGGAGAAAUUCCAAACGAACUGGGAGAUAGCUGGUUCUCUCCGAAAUAGCUUUAGGGCUAGCGUCGCAAUUUAAGUGUAUUGGAGGUAGAGCACUGUUUGGAUGAGGGGCCCAUCUCGGGUUACCAAUUUCAGAUAAACUCCGAAUGCUAAUACACAUGUGCGGCAGUCAGACUGCGAGUGCUAAGAUCCGUAGUCGAAAGGGAAACAGCCCAGACCACCAGCUAAGGUCCCAAAAUAUAUGUUAAGUGGAAAAGGAUGUGGGGUUGCACAGACAACUAGGAUGUUAGCUCAGAAGCAGCUAUCAUUCAAAGAGUGCGUAAUAGCUCACUAGUCGAGUGACCCUGCGCCGAAAAUGUACCGGGGCUAAACAUAUUACCGAAGCUGUGGAUUUAAUAUUAAUUAAAUGGUAGGAGAGCGUUGUAAUCAGCGAUGAAGGUAUACCGUGAGGGGUGCUGGAGCGAUUACAAGUGAGAAUGCCGGUAUGAGUAGCGCAAGAUAAGUGAGAAUCUUAUCCACCGUAAGACUAAGGUUUCCAGGGGAAGGCUCGUCCGCCCUGGGUUAGUCGGGACCUAAGGCGAGGCCGAAAGGCGUAGUCGAUGGACAACAGGUUGAUAUUCCUGUACUAGUAUUGUUAGUGAUGGAGGGACGCAGUAGGCUAAAGGGAGCCAGUUAAUGGAUUCUGGUCUAAGCAGUGAGGUGUGGAAUGUGUCAAAUGCAUUUUCCUUUAACAUUGAGCUGUGAUGGGGAAGCAACUACGGUUGCGAAGCCCUUGAUGUCACACUGCCAAGAAAAUCUUCUAGCGUUUAAUUCAAUACUACCCGUACCGCAAACCGACACAGGUAGUCGAGGCGAGUAGCCUCAGGUGAUCGAGAGAACUCUCGUUAAGGAACUCGGCAAAAUGACCCCGUAACUUCGGGAGAAGGGGUGCUGUAGAAAUACAGCCGCAGUGAAAAGAUCCAAGCAACUGUUUAUCAAAAACACAGCUCUCUGCUAAACCGCAAGGUGAUGUAUAGGGGGUGACGCCUGCCCGGUGCUGGAAGGUUAAGAGGAGGGGUUAGCUUAGGCGAAGCUCUGAAUUGAAGCCCCAGUAAACGGCGGCCGUAACUAUAACGGUCCUAAGGUAGCGAAAUUCCUUGUCGGGUAAGUUCCGACCCGCACGAAAGGCGUAAUGAUUUGGAUACUGUCUCAACGAGAGACUCGGUGAAAUUUUAGUACCUGUGAAGAUGCAGGUUACCCGCGACAGGACGGAAAGACCCCAUGGAGCUUUACUGCAGAUUGAUAUUGAGUACCUGUGAAGCAUGUACAGGAUAGGUAGGAGACUUUGACCUUGGGACGCUAGUUUCAAGUGAGUCGCUGUUGGGAUACUACCCUUGCUUCAUGGUUGCUCUAACCCACACGCAUAAUCGGCGUGGGAGACAGUGUCUGUCGGGCAGUUUGACUGGGGCGGUCGCCUCCUAAAGAGUAACGGAGGCGCCCAAAGGUUCCCUCAACAUGGUUGGAAAUCAUGUGUAGAGUGUAAAGGUAUAAGGGAGCUUGACUGCGAGAGCUACAACUCGAGCAGGUAGGAAACUAGGGCUUAGUGAUCCGGUGGUACCGCAUGGAAGGGCCAUCGCUCAACGGAUAAAAGCUACCCUGGGGAUAACAGGCUUAUCUCCCCCAAGAGUUCACAUCGACGGGGAGGUUUGGCACCUCGAUGUCGGCUCGUCGCAUCCUGGGGCUGUAGUCGGUCCCAAGGGUUGGGCUGUUCGCCCAUUAAAGCGGCACGCGAGCUGGGUUCAGAACGUCGUGAGACAGUUCGGUCCCUAUCCGUCGCGGGCGUAGGAAAUUUGAGAGGAUCUGCCCUUAGUACGAGAGGACCGGGGUGGACUUACCGCUGGUGUACCAGUUGUUCCGCCAGGAGCACCGCUGGGUAGCUAUGUAGGGAAGGGAUAAGCGCUGAAAGCAUCUAAGUGCGAAGCCCACCUCAAGAUGAGAUUUCCCAUUCUUUAUGAAUUAAGAGCCCUGAGAGAUGAUCAGGUUGAUAGGCUGGAAGUGGAAGUCCUGCGAGGGAUGGAGCGGACCAGUACUAAUAGCUCGAGGACUUUACCAA